AAGGCCUGAUGUGUGUGAGAUUACCCGCUGAAUUUAAGCAUAUAAGUAAGCGGAGGAAAAGAAACUAACUAGGAUUCCCUUAGUAAUGGCGAAUGAACAGGGAUCAGCUCAGUGCCAAAUCGGAAUCACUUGUGGUUCUGAAAUGUGGCUUGAAGGCAGUACCAGUGGCAUCGCGGACGAAAGUCUCUUGGAAAAGAGCGUCAUAGAGGGUGAGAAUCCCGUGAGUCGUUCGCCGUUUGUCACGUACGGUCUGCGUUCUAACGAGUCGCGUCCU
rnacentral:ncRNA from 1 species